AUUGCUUCUUGGCCUUUUGACUAAGAUCAAGUGUAGUAUCUUCUCAUCAGUUUAAUUUCUUUUCAUAUUUUAGUGACAGAAAUAUUUGGAAAAUCAAA
rnacentral:snRNA from 1 species